GACUCGUCAAGUCACUUCCCGCUCAGUCCUUUGUUAUCCUCACUCUUACAAAUCGGUAAUGAAUUCAAGAGCAUAUCAACUGUGCCUCUGCUUUCUACAUUCUUCGCUGCACUUGACCAGUGCUCUCUCCGUCUGACAGAGAUCUUUAGACAUAAAGGUGGAGCAGGUGGAAGGAAGAUCCAACACGUCAUGAUGGACAUUUCCAAGGAUGACACAAUACAUACUAGAUGAACAUGCGUCCUCAAGUCCCUGUGCAUCUACCUGAAUGAAGACCACGAAAAACUUGUGAAGGAAUACAAGAACACAGACACAGAGGCCACUGCGUCCAUGGAGCAAACUGUUCUGGGAGUUUAUGUAAUCCAGAAGGAGGGAGCAGAGCUGAGACAUGAAGACCCAGAAGACAUCGGUGUCCUGAUUGAAGAUGUGGAAGUUCUUAGCAACCUGCAGAGCACUGGAAUUGCUUGUGCUUUGUUGUUUGGACUUAUAUACUGUUUGAAUCUGAGCUACCCAUUAGAGCCCAAAUGCACCUUUGAAGUCCUGCAAAAGAUAUUCCUCGAUCUUGAUGGGCAGAGACUGUCUUCCAAGGCACAGUUCCUCAAGAACAAGCUUAUGAGCAAAUAAGCUUGAGGAAGACUACAAUAAGUCUGAAGGGAGGAUUCUGUUUACUUUUGAGAGUUCAGAUUUAGGUGUUAUGAUGUUAUGACAAUUUAUAGUUUGCUCAGUGAAGUGAGAACAAGAGUGUCUCCAAAGUUAAAAUGUCUCCUACAUUUGCAUGUUGCUGGAACAGAUAGAGUUGUAUCUUUACUACUGAUUUUAUUACAUGAAGUGUUGCUAAAGCAGUUUCACCCUUUGGCUGAAAAAUGUUUGAGAAGCCACUACAAUGGUCAUAGAUUCCUGUGCUGUCAGUGACUUUACAGAGAUUUUAUUUUGUA